rnacentral:SRP_RNA from 1 species
GCUGGGUGUGGUGGCUCACGCCUGUAAUCCCAGCACUUUGGGAGGCCGAGGUGGGUGGAUCACCUGAGGUCAGGAGUUCGAGACCAGCCUGGCCAACAUGGUGAAACUCCACCUCUA